UGUGUUGUUGGGUAGGGGAGCGUUCUGUAAGCCUGUGAAGGUGUGUCGUGAGGCAUGCUGGAGGUAUCAGAAGUGCGAAUGCUGACAUAAGUAACGAUAAAGCGGGUGAAAAGCCCGCUCGCCGGAAGACCAAGGGUUCCUGUCCAACGUUAAUCGGGGCAGGGUGAGUCGACCCCUAAGGCGAGGCCGAAAGGCGUAGUCGAUGGGAAACGGGUUAAUAUUCCCGUACUUGGUGUUACUGCGAAGGGGGGACGGAGAAGGCUAUGUUGGCCGGGCGACGGUUGUCCCGGUUUAAGCGUGUAGGCUGGUUUUCCAGGCAAAUCCGGAAAAUCAAGGCUGAGGCGUGACGACGAGGCACUACGGUGCUGAAGCAACAAAUGCCCUGCUUCCAGGAAAAGCCUCUAAGCAUCAGGUAACAUCAAAUCGUACCCCAAACCGACACAGGUGGUCAGGUAGAGAAUACCAAGGCGCUUGAGAGAACUCGGGUGAAGGAACUAGGCAAAAUGGUGCCGUAACUUCGGGAGAAGGCACGCUGACACGUAGGUGAAGUGAUUUACUCAUGGAGCUGAAGUCAGUCGAAGAUACCAGCUGGCUGCAACUGUUUAUUAAAAACACAGCACUGUGCAAACACGAAAGUGGACGUAUACGGUGUGACGCCUGCCCGGUGCCGGAAGGUUAAUUGAUGGGGUCAGCGCAAGCGAAGCUCCUGAUCGAAGCCCCGGUAAACGGCGGCCGUAACUAUAACGGUCCUAAGGUAGCGAAAUUCCUUGUCGGGUAAGUUCCGACCUGCACGAAUGGCGUAAUGAUGGCCAGGCUGUCUCCACCCGAGACUCAGUGAAAUUGAACUCGCUGUGAAGAUGCAGUGUACCCGCGGCAAGACGGAAAGACCCCGUGAACCUUUACUAUAGCUUGACACUGAACAUUGAGCCUUGAUGUGUAGGAUAGGUGGGAGGCUUUGAAGUGUGGACGCCAGUCUGCAUGGAGCCGGCCUUGAAAUACCACCCUUUAAUGUUUGAUGUUCUAACGUGGACCCGUUACCCGGGUUGCGGACAGUGUCUGGUGGGUAGUUUGACUGGGGCGGUCUCCUCCUAAAGAGUAACGGAGGAGCACGAAGGUUGGCUAAUCCUGGUCGGACAUCAGGAGGUUAGUGCAAUGGCAUAAGCCAGCUUGACUGCGAGCGUGACGGCGCGAGCAGGUGCGAAAGCAGGUCAUAGUGAUCCGGUGGUUCUGAAUGGAAGGGCCAUCGCUCAACGGAUAAAAGGUACUCCGGGGAUAACAGGCUGAUACCGCCCAAGAGUUCAUAUCGACGGCGGUGUUUGGCACCUCGAUGUCGGCUCAUCACAUCCUGGGGCUGAAGUAGGUCCCAAGGGUAUGGCUGUUCGCCAUUUAAAGUGGUACGCGAGCUGGGUUUAGAACGUCGUGAGACAGUUCGGUCCCUAUCUGCCGUGGGCGCUGGAGAACUGAGGGGGGCUGCUCCUAGUACGAGAGGACCGGAGUGGACGCAUCACUGGUGUUCGGGUUGUCAUGCCAAUGGCACUGCCCGGUAGCUAAAUGCGGAAGAGAUAAGUGCUGAAAGCAUCUAAGCACGAAACUUGCCCCGA
rnacentral:rRNA from 1 species